CCGGCGAUGUCCGAAUGGGGAAACCCAGUGCAAUUCGUUGCACUAUCGUUAACUGAAUACAUAGGUUAACGAGGCGAACCGGGGGAACUGAAACAUCUAAGUACCCCGAGGAAAAGAAAUCAACCGAGAUUCCCCCAGUAGCGGCGAGCGAACGGGGAGCAGCCCAGAGUCUGAAUCAGCUUGUGUGUUAGUGGAACGGUCUGGAAAGUCCGACGGUACAGGGUGAUAGUCCCGUACACCAAAAUGCACAGGUUGUGAACUCGAAGAGUAGGGCGGGACACGUGGUAUCCUGUCUGAAUAUGGGGGGACCAUCCUCCAAGGCUAAAUACUCCUGACUGACCGAUAGUGAACCAGUACCGUGAGGGAAAGGCGAAAAGAACCCCGGCGAGGGGAGUGAAAAAGAACCUGAAACCGUGUACGUACAAGCAGUGGGAGCACCUUCGGGUGUGACUGCGUACCUUUUGUAUAAUGGGUCAGCGACUUAUAUUCUGUAGCAAGGUUAACCGUAUAGGGGAGCCGCAGGGAAACCGAGUCUUAACUGGGCGUUAAGUUGCAGGGUAUAGACCCGAAACCCGGUGAUCUAGCCAUGGGCAGGUUGAAGGUUGGGUAACACUAACUGGAGGACCGAACCGACUAAUGUUGAAAAAUUAGCGGAUGACUUGUGGCUGGGGGUGAAAGGCCAAUCAAACCGGGAGAUAGCUGGUUCUCCCCGAAAGCUAUUUAGGUAGCGCCUCGUGAACUCAUCUUCGGGGGUAGAGCACUGUUUCGGCUAGGGGGUCAUCCCGACUUACCAACCCGAUGCAAACUACGAAUACCGAAGAAUGUUAUCACGGGAGACACACGGCGGGUGCUAACGUCCGUCGUGAAGAGGGAAACAACCCAGACCGCCAGCUAAGGUCCCAAAGUCAUGGUUAAGUGGGAAACGAUGUGGGAAGGCACAGACAGCCAGGAUGUUGGCUUAGAAGCAGCCAUCAUUUAAAGAAAGCGUAAUAGCUCACUGGUCGAGUCGGCCUGCGCGGAAGAUGUAACGGGGCUAAACCAUGCACCGAAGCUGCGGCAGCGACACGAUGUGUUGUUGGGUAGGGGAGCGUUCUGUAAGCCUGCGAAGGUGACCUGUGAGGGUUGCUGGAGGUAUCAGAAGUGCGAAUGCUGACAUAAGUAACGAUAAAGCGGGUGAAAAGCCCGCUCGCCGGAAGACCAAGGGUUCCUGUCCAACGUUAAUCGGGGCAGGGUGAGUCGACCCCUAAGGCGAGGCCGAAAGGCGUAGUCGAUGGGAAACAGGUUAAUAUUCCUGUACUUGGUGUUACUGCGAAGGGGGGACGGAGAAGGCUAUGUUAGCCGGGCGACGGUUGUCCCGGUUUAAGCAUGUAGGCUGGUUAUCCAGGCAAAUCCGGAUAAUCAAGGCUGAGGUGUGAUGACGAGGCACUACGGUGCUGAAGUAACAAAUGCCCUGCUUCCAGGAAAAGCCUCUAAGCAUCAGGUAACAUCAAAUCGUACCCCAAACCGACACAGGUGGUCAGGUAGAGAAUACCAAGGCGCUUGAGAGAACUCGGGUGAAGGAACUAGGCAAAAUGGUGCCGUAACUUCGGGAGAAGGCACGCUGGUGUGUAGGUGAAGUCCCUGCGGAUGGAGCUGAGACCAGUCGAAGAUACCAGCUGGCUGCAACUGUUUAUUAAAAACACAGCACUGUGCAAACACGAAAGUGGACGUAUACGGUGUGACGCCUGCCCGGUGCCGGAAGGUUAAUUGAUGGGGUUAUCCGUAAGGAGAAGCUCUUGAUCGAAGCCCCGGUAAACGGCGGCCGUAACUAUAACGGUCCUAAGGUAGCGAAAUUCCUUGUCGGGUAAGUUCCGACCUGCACGAAUGGCGUAAUGAUGGCCAGGCUGUCUCCACCCGAGACUCAGUGAAAUUGAACUCGCUGUGAAGAUGCAGUGUACCCGCGGCAAGACGGAAAGACCCCGUGAACCUUUACUAUAGCUUGACACUGAACAUUGAGCCUUGAUGUGUAGGAUAGGUGGGAGGCUUUGAAGCGUGGACGCCAGUCUGCGUGGAGCCAACCUUGAAAUACCACCCUUUAAUGUUUGAUGUUCUAACGU
rnacentral:rRNA from 1 species